rnacentral:rRNA from 1 species
CUUGGUCAUUUAGAGGAAGUAAAAGUCGUAACAAGGUUUCCGUAGGUGAACCUGCGGAAGGAUCAUUAUCGUACAAUGGGGGUACCACGGCUGUCGCUGACUUUUUCGGUCGUGCACGCCAGAGUGCUCUCACAUACAAAUAUCCAUCUCACCCCUUUGUGCAUCACCGCGUGGGUCCCCCUUCCUCCGAGGGGGGUCCUCACGUUUUUAACAUUAAACACCCAUUCGAACGUAUCGUAGAAUGUUCUUUGCGCGAUCACGCGCGAUCAAUACAACUUUCAACAACGGAUCUCUUGGCUCUCGCAUCGAUGAAGAACGCAGCGAAAUGCGAUACGUAAUGUGAAUUGCAGAAUUCAGUGAAUCAUCGAAUCUUUGAACGCAUAUUGCGCUCUUUGGUAUUCCGAAGAGCAUGCUUGUUUGAGUAUCAGUAAACACCUCAACCUCUCUUUUUGACAAAAAAAGGGAGGGUGGACUUGAGCUAUCCCAACGACCUUCACCGGUAGGCGGGCGGCUUGAAAUGCAGGUGCAGCUGGACUUUUAUCUGAGCUAAAAGCAUAUCUAUUUAGUCCUCGUCAAACAGGAUUAUUACUUUUGCUGCAGCUAACAUAAAGGAUAAUUGUCCUCUUUGCUGACUGAUGCAGGAUUUUACGACACUUUAUGUGUUGUUCAACUCGAUCUCAAAUCAAGUAAGACUACCCGCUGAACUUAAGCAUAUCAAUAAGCGGAGGA